UGCAUUAGUUAGAUGGAAGAUGCAGGUUUUCUGAAGCAAGGCAAGAGAAUUGAAGUGCUGAAUAGAAACAAGAAGAGUUAACACAGUAGGGAAGAUCUAAAGCAGGAACGCAAUGGCCCAUGUGGUGAUGGUAAAAAACUUGGAUUGCAGUGAAGGUGAAAAGAACUGAAGCAGAAUUUCUAUACUGAUAAAGAAGUCUGAUGAGAUGCCAGGAAAUAAGUCAGAUUUUGAGAAAAUAUGAUGAGCACUGUAAGGUAAUGAAACAUACGAUGUGAAACAUUUAUUUUUUCCUUUACUGCAUUCUUUCAAGCCUUAUGUAGAACAAAACCUUCUACUGUGGAUCUUUGUAUCCCUGUAUCUUGGAACGUGCAAUUAGGAUGAAACUGAUCUAACCAGAAGGGGACAGUUCAAGGUCUCUAAGCAUAGGUGUCAUUUAAACCAAAGCUUGAAGAGUUACAAAGAACUGAAGUCAUACCCAGUAGUGAGCAGAGAAGCUCAGCAAAGCAGAGAGCAAGUGGGUUUGGAAACCACAGAGGUAGGUGCUGCAGAAGAAAGCACAUGCUCACCAGUCUGAUUCGGUGCCCAGGUAAGUCCCUGAUGGGUACCAGACAGGCUUUGAGGACACUUCCUGAAGUUUUUAAAACUAAGCAGGUUGGUUUAGCUGAUACAGACGCAACAACCAAGUACUAGCAACUACUGCCAGGUGCACAGGUAACUGAGAGUAGAGAGUAGGAUUUAGAUCUCCUUGGCAACAUAUAUUUUUUUGUGUGUCAAAAACAAUUUUGAUAUUUCACCCAAGAGAAACAUUUAUUUCCUUUCCUUU
rnacentral:lncRNA from 1 species